CCCUACGGGACGCAGCAGUGGGGAAUAUUGCGCAAUGGGGGAAACCCUGAUGCAGCGACGCCGCGUGAGUGAAGAAGUAUCUCGGUACGUAAAGCUCUAUCAGCAGGAAAGAAAAUGACGGUACCUGACUAAGAAGCCCCGGCUAACUACGUGCCAGCAGCCGCGGUAAUACGUAGGGGGCAAGCGUUAUCCGGAUUUACUGGCUGUAAAGGGAGCGUAGACGGCACUGCAAGUCCGGAGUGAAAGCCCAUGGCUUAACCAUGGUACUGCUCUGGAAACUGUGGAGCUUGAGUGCGGGAGGGGCG
rnacentral:rRNA from 1 species